rnacentral:rRNA from 1 species
CCUGGUUGAUCCUGCCAGUGGUCAUAUGCUUGUCUCAAAGAUUAAGCCAUGCAUGUUUAAGCAGAAGCCGCACAACGGUAAAGCCGCGAAUGGCUCAUUACAACAGCCGUCGUUUCUUGGAUCUCUAAUUUUACUUGGAUAACUGUGGUAAUUCUAGAGCUAAUACACGCACUAAAGCUCUGACCUUACGGAACGAGCGCAUUUAUUAGAACAAAACCAAUCGGGUUUCGGCCCGUUCGUUGGUGACUCUGAAUAACUCUGCCGAUCGCACGGUCUCGCACCGGCAACGUAUCUUUCAAGUGUCUGCCUUAUCAACUUUCGAUGGUAGUUUAUGUGCCUACCAUGGUUGUAACGGGUAACGGAGAAUAAGGGUUCGACUCCGGAGAGGGAGCCUGAGAAACGGCUACCACAUCCAAGGAAGGCAGCAGGCGCGCAAAUUACCCACUCUCGGCACGAGGAGGUAGUGACGAAAAAUAACGAGACGGAUCUCUUUGAGGCCCGUUAUCGGAAUGAGAACAAUUCAAAUCCUUUAACGAGGAUCUAGCGGAGGGCAAGUCUGGUGCCAGCAGCCGCGGUAAUUCCAGCUCCGCAGGUGUAUAUCUAUGCUGCUGCGGUUAAAAAGCUCGUAGUUGGAUCUGCGUGCUCGGAACUGGUUGGCUCACUGAGUUCAAACUGGUCUCCGGCGCUUUAUUGGCUGGUUUUCCCUUGAUGCUCUUAACCGGGUGUCUUGGGUGGCUAGCACGUUUACUUUGAAAAAAUUAGAGUGCUCAAUACAGGCGUAAAGCCUUGAAUAGUGGUGCAUGGAAUAAUAGAAUAGGACCUCGGCUCUAUUUUGUUGGUUUUCGGAACGCGAGGUAAUGAUUAAGAGGGACAGACGGGGGCAUUCGUAUUGCGACGUUAGAGGUGAAAUUCUUGGAUCGCCGCAAGACGGACGACUGCGAAAGCAUUUGCCAAGAAUGUUUUCAUUAAUCAAGAACGAAAGUUAGAGGUUCGAAGGCGAUCAGAUACCGCCCUAGUUCUAACCGUAAACGAUGCCAACUAGCGAUUCGCAGGCGUUAAACAACGACCUUGCGGGCAGCUUCCCGGAAACGAAAGUGUUCGGGUUCCGGGGGAAGUAUGGUUGCAAAGCUGAAACUUAAAGGAAUUGACGGAAGGGCACCACCAGGAGUGGAGCCUGCGGCUUAAUUUGACCCAACACGGGAAAACUCACCCGGCCCGGACACCGUAAGGAUUGACAGAUUGAGAGCUCUUUCUUGAUUCGGUGGGUGGUGGUGCAUGGCCGUUCUUAGUUGGUGGAGCGAUUUGUCUGGCUUAUUCCGAUAAC